rfam:Brassica napus, WGS project CCCW01000000 data, contig: 6974
GGAAUAUAAGAACCCGUUUCUUAACUUUUAACUAAAAAAAUUAAGAACGUGUUCAUAAAACUCUUAUUUAAAAGCUGGUUCUUAGCUUUUUUAGUUAAAAGUUAAGAGACAGGUUCUCAUAUUCC